AUCCUUGUUUGAGAAACACGCUCA
rnacentral:siRNA from 1 species